CGUAGGGGGCAAGCGUUGUCCGGAAUCAUUGGGCGUAAAGAGCGUGUAGGCGGUUCGGUAAGUCGGCUGUGAAAGUCCAGGGCUCAACCCUGGGAUGCCGGUCGAUACUGCCGGACUAGAGUUCGGAAGAGGCGAGUGGAAUUCCCGGUGUAGCGGUGAAAUGCGCAGAUAUCGGGAGGAACACCUAUGGCGAAGGCAGCUCGCUGGGACGUUACUGACGCUGAGACGCGAAAGCGUGGGGAGCAAACAGG
rnacentral:rRNA from 1 species